UACGGAGGGUGCAAGCGUUAUCCGGAUUUACUGGGUUUAAAGGGUGUGUAGGCGGGUCUUUAAGUCAGCGGGGAAAUCUCCGAGCUCAACUUGGAAACUGCCAUUGAUACUAUUGAUCUUGAAUUUUGUUGAGGUAGGCGGAAUAAGUCAUGUAGCGGUGAAAUGCAUAGAUAUGACUUGGAACACCAAUUGCGAAGGCAGCUUGCUAAACAAAUAUUGACGCUGAGGCACGAAAGCGUGGGGAUCAAACAGG
rnacentral:rRNA from 1 species